UGGUAUCUCAGCUCAGUCUGAAUACCACCCAAGUAUUCACAGUUGUCUGUCAAUGCAGUCAUCUCCAAGGGCAAGAGCCUGUGAGUCCUGAAGCCUGUGAAAACAGUGGAUACUGGCCCUGAUAGGAAAGAAUUCAACAAGAGACAGAAAUUUCGAGCAGCAAGAAUUGUAUUAAGCAGAACAAGCGGAAGUACGCUCCUGGAGAGAAGAGAGUGGGCUGUCUGGCUGGAAACCAGAAGCAGCCUCGGGGUGAGGGGAGGCCUGGUUUUUCAGAGUAAUGGGAAGUCUCUCCCUGUGUCUUGUGUCUUUUGAUUGACGAGAUGAUUGACAGCUUUAGGUUAUAUAACUCUUCCCCUUGUUCUCAGGCACUUACCCAUAAUUACCCAAGCAAAACCCACAAGGGGGCAAAAACCACAAUGCUAAUUUAUUAUAAAUACAGUAUAAUGAAACCAGGUUGUUCUGGGUCAUUUCUGCACCAACUGGUGCUAGCAGUUUGGAAAGCCCAGCUGUGUUUUUGACCUUCUACUUGGGCCUUGAGCAACUUUUGUGUUUACAGUGUCUAGGCAGUUGUCCAUUGACUCCUGGGUAAACAAGAGUUUAGGGAAAUAGAAUUUGAGCCUUAGAACAAUGGUCUGACUGAUGCCUAGAUCAACAUUCAGUACAUAAAUAGUUGUCAAUGAAGGGUGAUUUUUGCCCCCCAAGGACAUUUGGUGAUGUCGGGGGAUAUUUUUUUUUUUGUCGUGCCUGGGUUGCAGUGGGGGGCUCUCCUCAGAAGUUCUUGGCAUUUAGUAGUUAGAGGCUAGAUAUUCUGCUACAUAUGCCACAGUGCACAGGGCAGCCCCCUGACUACAAAGAUUGUCUGGUCCAAACCAUAAACAGUGCUGAGGUUGAGAAACCCUGGAAUACAUCUGGACCUGCAUCAGAGAAGUUUUUGUCUGGGCUUCUGGGCAGUGACAACUCACAGGGGCGCCCUCCAGUGGUCAGUGUGAAUCAUGACCCUCCGUGAGUGUCUCAAGAUCUCAAUCCUUUGCCCUUUAUUCCAUUCAGCUUUCUUUGGAAGAGUUAGUUAGAAGAAAUGUCCUAUCCUCUGUGGGGCUGUCCCCUUCUCACAUGCAUACAAACUGAUGAUACAUGGAGAAUAUGUGGAGCAUGAGGCUUCUCCCUUCAUGAUGAAACUCCUCCAAUCUUCCAGUCUGGUAACUUUAUGGAAACAACUUUGUGUGGCAAGAGUACACAGUUCCCUUCCAGAAGAGGGAGCAAGAUGACCAGGGAGGUCUUUUUCUUUCAUGCCAACUAAACAUACCUAUAUUUGUGUGUGUGUAUUUCUUCUCAGCUCUUUCACCUUCUCUUUAUUUUCCAAGUCAGUGUGGUGACUUGUACUCCUGUUAUUAGAUGAGUGGUAUUUCAUUGCUCUCCUGGAAAUGUCAGUGAGUUUAGCAACAACAACAACACAGUUUGGUGUCUCUGAAGCCAAUGAAACUCCUCACCUGGGCAUAAAUCUCCAUGACACCCUACUGAAAUUAAUCAGUCCCCAAGCAGUGAGGGGACAUGAGUAAAUUUUUUCUUUCUUAACUCCUAAA